GCAGACGGAGUAGUGCAAGGUAGAGCAAUCAUGAGUUUUAUGUUGAGGUACUGUGAAAGUACAAAACAUGACAUAACAAGUUGGUAAAGAAUACUAACUCUCAGAAGAAUACAUUUCGUCAAAAAAAAAAAGUUACAGUGACAAAAAUGCAGUAAGUUGUAAAAUUAGAUACAAUUAAAGAAAUUUCGAUAAAGAUAAUGAAGAAAGUAAUAAGGAGUGCUAUGUACAAUAUAUGCUCAAACUAGAAUGCAAGGAGAAGGCUUAUAAUCACAUGGAUGAUUCUGUUUAUAGCUUACUGAGUACUACCAGAAAUGAAUACAAGAGAAUCCCUAUUCCCAGAGGCAGAUAAUUAGUUGAGGCUAGUCGAUAAUAAGAGCCUUUCAGUGCCAAUGGUCAUUAGGAAUAUAUUUGGAGAUUCUCCUGUCCGAAACCUUUUACAGCUGCUCUUUCAACUGUUGCAAGGGUAUCUAUUGCUUUAUCUACAAGUGAAUUAAUCUGUGAUUUAUUCACAAGAAGUGAUAAACUUUGAUUGAUGUAACAUUGACAACUUUGAUUGAUGCAUCAACAACCUUUUGUCAUACACAGCGCUAUAUAAUUAGAAAGCCUGUUGCGUAACCUGCUUCAUUUUUAUCUGCAGUUAAAAAAUAUGGAGAAAAAUGUGUAUUUUACCCAAUUAUCAUUCAUUUUAAAUUUGAAAAUUUUAUAAAGUAUUUUUUAAAAUUUGUUAUUGUAUUAUGAAUUUUUAUGAAAAUUACAUCAUAAAUAUAUCUGAUAAUUGUUUUUAAACGUUGUUUGUAUGUAAAGAUAAUUAUUAUUUUAUUUGAAAUAUAAUUUUAAUUAUUAACUAUCAAUAACUAACAUUCUUUUCUUUGAAUUUUGUCACUUUAUACAGAGGUAUUUGUGCAAGCGCCCGAAAUAUUGUCUUUCCUUAUAGUUACUACAAAUUGUUAGCUCUGUAGGUUUGAUCAUGGAAAUAAAACUGCCUACUUUUCACGAGAUUCAGAUAUACAAAUCCAUAUUUCAUGCUAUACAAAACCAGCACAAAAAUUGUACUGUAAAUGAGUAACACAACAUUGGUUCUCAAGUUUACAUGUUAUUGAUGCAUAUAUGAUAUUCGAGUUAUUAUUGUUGUUAUUUUGCAUAUAAUUAUUUAUUCUAUAUGUCGUCCAAGUUUAAUUUCGAAUCACUUAUAUAUAAAGUUAUUAGAAGUUAUAAUUCUGUAAUAUUGGUGAUGCAUCAUUUUAGCAAAUUAUAUAACCAUAAAAUGUAUCUAAUAGUAUCCGUUGUAUUAUUAUUGUAAAACUGUAGAGAUAUUUUGAUAUUUAUAAUUAUUAUUUAGCUAUGAAACUAAUUUGUAUAAUUAAUUUGGCCUUAGGUCUAACAUAUAACUUAAGCGUGCUUAGGUCUAACAUAUAACUUAAGCGUCCUAAAUUUAUGUGAAAUACACUUGGAAGGCAGUUUGGCAAAGAACUAAUUCAUAUUUUUUGUUAUCACCAUAUUGCAGUAUGCAUGAUUCUUAAAAUAACUUUCUCUUUUUAAACCUAUUGGACGUUUCCACGACAACUACCACAAAACUUUCAGCCGGAAUUAAGUAUAUGAACAAAACUACAGGUGCGAAAUACUGUAUUUCGCAGUUGCUGGCAACCCUCAGUACACGGUGUAUAGAAAGGCAGGUUUGGUGGCUGCAUUCAUAGCCAUAGAAUUGACAUACGUUAUUAUAUUUGUGAAGUAUGCAGCGUUUUAUUGUCAUCGAAAACAAGCCUUUCCGAAUUUGAUGUACAUAAGCUGGCAAAUUCGUUCCAGUAUUCGGUAUUAACCUGAAUUUUCUGGCAACUGCUGUUAAACGCUCUUGUUCAUCCUACGGGAUAAACAAUUUCUCGAAAAUUGCUUAUCAGUUAUAUGUUGGAACAGUGCCAUCUAUUGGCAUUUCUACGUUACCUCCAGCACUAAAAUUUGUAUCACAACAUGAAGAAUACGAGCCAUUUGGCUGAUCGUACAACAGGCUCCAAAACGUUACUUGUUAGCAUGUCCAUGUCCAUGCCUCAUAUCACACUAUUCAAGCAAUAGUCACUGCCUUACGACGCGACUACUAGUUGCAAUAAUGCAUUUUAUAAAGACGUCGUUAUUCUUAUCAAUGUAUGACUGUAAAUACUGUGGGCUCCUACACCAUUUAAUACGCCCUGUGGUGGGGCUUAAGAGCGACUGCUAAAUGGGGUGUUUUUUUUUUUUUUUUUUUUUUUCAGUUGCUGGAUUACUGCUGAAAAGUUCGUGGCAAUAGCCAUCGGAAAGUCCAAUAGCUUUCCUUUAAGUAAACACUUUUCUUAUUUCUUUAAAUUUGGGAACAUAAUUAACGUUAAAAAGCAGCAAUGAUAUUUAUUGCUUAAAAUCUAUUGUGAUUUACUUUAUAAAGCAUUUUAAAAUUAAUUUCACUUAGAGGUUAUGAUGUUAAGAUUCAUCUUCAUAUUUAAUCCUUGUAAUAAGUGUUUUAAGGUAGGGAUGAAAAACUGUAAAGCGUACGUUAUAUACCGUAAAAGUCACUAGUUUCUGUUUCUUUCUGCUAUAUACUGGAACAAUUUUUAAAGUACAUCUUUAAAAUCAGAAUUUCGAAAUAUUUGAAACAAAACAUUAAGGAAUACAAAGAAAAAACUUUGGGUGCUACUAAAGCACUUCUUCUUUUCGUUUGCGAGAUACUACACUAAAAAUUAUGAAUUCCCAUCAAUUACAUGUAAUUGUUUUUAAUUUUACAGUAAGUAGUUAAGAAAUUGAAAGAAUUUUUUUUAUCUCUGUUAUAGAUUAAAAUAUUUUUAUUCAAUGCAAUUAAUUCAGAUGAUGUUAAAUUAAUGACUAGCUGAAAGUAUUAGGUAUCAUGUAUAUAUAAACACAAUACGUUAUUUAGUACCUAAUAUGUCAGAGAAAAGAAAAAUGUUGUUUUAUUACCAAAUAUAAGAGCUUUCCUUGUAAAUAGAAGUAGAGUUAAAAAUUUUUUCUAAAUUUAUUUCUCUUACAGCUAACAAAAUAUAGAAAAUACUAAAUGGCAACACAGAACUGCAGAAAGAAACAAAGACUAAUAACUGUUACGGUCUUUGGAAGAGGAUUUUAGCCGGCAAUACAUUGAACUUUUAGUUUUUCGUUUCAUUGAUCAUUUAAUAUCGUUCACGCUCAUGAAAAAAAUGAAAGCGACAUAGGCUGAAAAUAAGCAUCCACAUAAGAUCUAAUUCACAGGACGAAUCUAAUCAUUAAAUUUUUAGAACCUGUAUAGAGUUCAGAGUAAAUCAAUUUUCCAGCACGAAUUUCCAAUUCAACUGAAGUUUCUGAAUGCAAGAAUACUUAGUAUAAGAUCAGGACCGACGCCAGAGUCUGUGCUACCGGUGGGUAAGAUUCAUUCCAAUAGACGUAGUAACUUAACUGGUUACGUUAUGAAUUAAGUGCCAUGUCAGUUCUUUUUUUUUUUUUUUUUUUCCAUUGACUCUAAAAGUGCCACUUUUCGAAGGGCAAAAAGAUCACAACCUACUGGUAGUGUAACUGAUCUAAUUCUUCUUUCCACAAUACAAAUGCACUAUUGUAAAUCCUUGUCUCAUCUAAUGACUCGGAAUGACUUCGGAGACUAUAAUUUCUACUCUAAAAUUGACUGUUCAGAGCUCUUGAUAUGUUUCCUUGAUAUUUAAAAUUAUCUCUAACCUUUAAGUACCAGUGUAAAAAAGGUUUCAAGCGGUUUCGAUCCGUAUGGAUCGUAAUUUUGAAUAACCGAGCUUCAAAUAACACAUUUCUGAAUGUUUCUUAAUUAAAGAAGGAUAAUAGUAAAUAUAAGAUCCUUAGAAACGAAUUAAUAUGGCUCAAAACCUUUCUUAAAUGAUUCAAAAAUCGGCUUUUAUAAAUUUUGUUAAAGAAAUGCUAUGAAGUCGUUGAAAAUGAAUCUUCGCACUUGUUUUAAAAGCGUCUUCCUUUUUGUGUGCUGUCGUUUGCUGUACCUUUCAGCUUCGGUUAACUUGUUUUCUACCUCUAUUCAAAUAAGCAAGUAUCAGGGACUGCAUUCAUGUAUUCAUUGUGAUAGAAGUAAUCUCAUUAGCAUUUAAUAUCUAAUGAGCAAUGUCUUUUCGAAGUGCCUUUAAAUGUGUUCAUUCUGUUCUUAUGAUUGAUAUAAUUACUUUUGUAACAUAGUUUUGAAUAUAUUGACAAAAAGUAUCUUAAAAUAAAAAUUUAUAUCUACUG